UUGGGCUAGUUGGGCUUUAGCUGGGCAUGGGCUCAGAGUGGGCUUUGUCGUUGGGCCCCACAUGGGCAGUAGGUGGGCUAAAUUAAUUAUGGGCUCCAGUUGGGCUCCACUCCUAAGAUAUUACCAAUUCAAAUUUGAUUAUGUCAGACAUGUAUGCUAUUUUCUAACAAUAGCCACUGGGCUAGGUCCAUUUUUUAUACAAAUUUUAUUAGACUAUUAAGCUAUUUAGAAGCCACAGCAAUUUAGUGGUCUUAAGUACUAUAUGACUUUCAACAGACAAGUUUGGCACAUCAGGUUUUUCCACAAAAUAUUCAAAUAUGGUUCAAACCCUAAAGUAAGCAGUGCGCACUUUGUGCAGUGCACUCUGUGCAGCGCUCAUCCGGAAAGCUCCACCCCCAUCACAACUUUGCAGCCUUUGAGUCUUAAGGAUUCAUUACAGUGUCGCGUGGACAAAAGACAGGCGAGUGAUUUUGUCCAGUGAGGAUGAGGAUGAUGACAAUUGGUCCGGCAGUCAAAUCAGGCCUACACCUCCAUCCACCCUCAGUGCAUCCACCCUCAGGUCUGUGCAGACUCCUGCACCGCCUCCAUCCAUCCUCAGGUCUUCAACUCCAU